CUAAGAUGAGUUAAAUUUGUUUUUGACACGGGAAAAUAAAAUAGGAAAAUAUCCUCAAUAUAUGUAUAAUGUUAUAUCAUAAACUAUACCAUAUUUAACCUGCAUUUUUACGAAAAAUUACUAAAUUAUGGAGUGUUGUAUAAGCUGCUCGAUUCUUAGUCCAUUUAGGCAUCUGUGUCUAGAAAUGCUGAGGUAAUGAAAAAAUUGACAGUAAAUGGAUUCUUGCGGAGAGCACAGCCCGCCGAGCCACGGUGCUUCAGUCAAGAAAGAGUUUAGACCUAAUUGGUAAAGCAAGUAUGAGUGCUUUAGACGAGGCUGCUCAACCAGGAGAUGCCCUAAGCCCUGCAUUGAGCUGAUAUUCCAAUCGUGCUACGCCUUUAAAAAGGCCCUAUAUUGAAAUAACAUUUCCACUGGGUUCGGAUAUAACAAGAUGGUAUUCAAGCUUCGAUAUCAGAAAACCUCUCCAUCGAUUGUUGAGCAGACCUCGCAUAUUUUAUGGAUACGAAGAUUUCUCAUAGUGCUCCUGGUUUUUCAGCUUGACUAAGAGCCACCAAAGAUUACUGCAUAGAGUCUCUGAGUCUCUUCUUCAUGUGUCUAUAUUAAAUUAUAGAAUAAAUAAAAUACCAUUGCAAUUUGUUUUUAAAAUAA